rnacentral:rRNA from 1 species
AUUGAACGCUGGCGGCAUGCUUUACACAUGCAAGUCGAACGGUAACAGGGAGCUUGCUCCGCUGACGAGUGGCGAACGGGUGAGUAAUGCGUCGGAACGUGCCGAGUAGUGGGGGAUAACGCAUCGAAAGGUGUGCUAAUACCGCAUACGAACUGAGGUUGAAAGUGGGGGACCUUCGGGCCUCACGCUAUUCGAGCGGCCGGCGUCUGAUUAGCUAGUUGGUGAGGUAAAGGCUCACCAAGGCGACGAUCAGUAGCGGGUCUGAGAGGAUGAUCCGCCACACUGGGACUGAGACACGGCCCAGACUCCUACGGGAGGCAGCAGUGGGGAAUUUUGGACAAUGGGCGCAAGCCUGAUCCAGCCAUGCCGCGUGUCUGAAGAAGGCCUUCGGGUUGUAAAGGACUUUUGUCCGGGAGCAAAUGCUGGUGGCUAACAUCCACCGGAGCUGAGAGUACCGUAAGAAUAAGCACCGGCUAACUACGUGCCAGCCGCCGCUGUAAUAC